rnacentral:rRNA from 1 species
UACUCCUACGGGAGGCAGCAGUGAGGAAUAUUGGUCAAUGGGCGAGAGCCUGAACCAGCCAAGUAGCGUGCAGGACGACGGCCCUAUGGGUUGUAAACUGCUUUUGUAUGGGGAUAAAGUCAAUCACGUGUGAUUGUUUGCAGGUACCAUACGAAUAAGGACCGGCUAAUUCCGUGCCAGCAGCCGCGGUAAUACGGAAGGUCCGGGCGUUAUCCGGAUUUAUUGGGUUUAAAGGGAGCGUAGGCUGGAGAUUAAGUGUGUUGUGAAAUGUAGACGCUCAACGUCUGACUUGCAGCGCAUACUGGUUUCCUUGAGUACGCACAACGUUGGCGGAAUUCGUCGUGUAGCGGUGAAAUGCUUAGAUAUGACGAAGAACUCCGAUUGCGAAGGCAGCUGACGGGAGCGCAACUGACGCUGAAGCUCGAAGGUGCGGGUAUCGAACAGGAUUAGAUACCCUGGUAGUCCGCACAGUAAACGAUGGAUGCCCGCUGUUGGUACGUGGUAUCAGCGGCUAAGCGAAAGCAUUAAGCAUCCCACCUGGGGAGUACGCCGGCAACGGUGAAACUCAAAGGAAUUGACGGA